AGAGACCGGCGCACGGGUGCGUAACGCGUAUGCAAUCUACCUUUUACAGGGGAAUAGCCCAGAGAAAUUUGGAUUAAUGCCCCAUAGUAUAGUUUUUUCGCAUGAAGAGAUUAUUAAAGUUCCAACGGUAAAAGAUGAGCAUGCGUCCCAUUAGCUAGAUGGUAAGGUAACGGCUUACCAUGGCGACGAUGGGUAGGGGUCCUGAGAGGGAGAUCCCCCACACUGGUACUGAGACACGGACCAGACUCCUACGGGAGGCAGCAGUGAGGAAUAUUGGUCAAUGGACGCAAGUCUGAACCAGCCAUGCCGCGUGCAGGAUGACGGUCCUAUGGAUUGUAAACUGCUUUUGUACGAGAAGAAACACUCCUUCGUGAAGGAGCUUGACGGUAUCGUAAGAAUAAGGAUCGGCUAACUCCGUGCCAGCAGCCGCGGUAAUACGGAGGAUCCAAGCGUUAUCCGGAAUCAUUGGGUUUAAAGGGUCCGUAGGCGGUUUAGUAAGUCAGUGGUGAAAGCCCAUCGCUCAACGGUGGA
rnacentral:rRNA from 1 species